UACAACAUAUCAUUAAUGCACCGGAUCCCAUUAGAACUCUGCAGUUAAGCACACUCGGAAUAGAGUAGUACUGGUUGGGUGACUUCCCAGGAAGUCCUAGUGUUUUAC
rfam:Picea glauca, whole genome shotgun sequence.